UGGGGAAUAUUGGACAAUGGGGGCAACCCUGAUCCAGCGAUGCCGCGUGUGUGAAGAAGGCCUUCGGGUUGUAAAGCUCUUUCGGCGGGGACGAAACGGUUCGUGACAACACCACGGACUAAUGACGGUACCCGCAUAAGAAGCACCGGCUAACUACGUGCCAGCAGCCGCGGUAAUACGUAGGGUGCAAGCGUUAAUCGGAAUUACUGGGCGUAAAGCGUGCGCAGGCGGUUGUGUAAGUCAGAUGUGAAAUCCCCGGGCUCAACCUGGGAAUUGCAUUUGAGACUGCACGGCUAGAGUGUGUCAGAGGGGGGUAGAAUUCCACGUGUAGCAGUGAAAUGCGUAGAUAUGUGGAGGAAUACCGAUGGCGAAGGCAGCCCCCUGGGAUAACACUGACGCUCAUGCACGAAAGCGUGGGGAGCAAACAGGAUUAGAUACCCUUGUAGUCCCUGAGCGGGCUGGCAAGGCGCAU
rnacentral:rRNA from 1 species